UCUACACUCACAGCUCUCUCCGAAUGGUACACAGGACUACACAGGACUCAGUCUCAAACUGAGCCAGUUUAUGAGGAAAUUUAUCACAGACACAAUCUAUUUACUCAUAGAGGGAGUCUCAUCACUGAAGACGCUGAUGAGCUUCUCUCAGAGAGGGUGAAUGAGAUCACACCAGGAAUCUAUGAGGAUAUCUUCACUGGUGGACUGAUACCAGAUUGUGAAACAGGUGCUGAUGCUCUUCUGUACUUGUAUUUCUUUCUCUGUAAUUCUGUAAUGUGCAUAUUAAUAUGUACUGUACAUUCAUGUUUGUGUGAUGGCACUGGUUUCAUGUUAAAUUUAAAUUUGUAGACGACACACCAGAGGGAUAUUAUGAUGUCAUUACUAGUGGACAGAACAAUGGUACUGAAAAUGUUGGUUUCAUUUUUAUAUAAUUUUCCUCAUGAAUUUUUACAAGCUACUACUUUAAGGUGAAGGCCAGUUAUUAUUUAAAUUAUUAUUUGAUCAGCUUAAU
rnacentral:lncRNA from 12 species